UUAGUUGGCGGCCAUCUUGGAUCUACCCAUCAAACAAACCACCCUUACUUUUGGGAUGAGAGGGAGGUCUUUAACCGAAUUUGAGUCUUUCGGGGUACCAGCCCCAUCGGAAAGCGGAGCAGUGAGUGUCAGAAGCCGAAAAUCUACAGGAACCCAAGGCUUCAAAAAUUGGCUGCAAAUUCUGAGACUGGUUUUACGUGAACUCCUUCCUCCCAUAUUCCUUGUCUGGACGUUCUGUGAAUUGGUUAAGGACCAGUGAACUAUCAGAACCACGUUUAUUGAGCUUUUACAAUAGAGUCGUUCCCGAAAAACGGAUUGUUAUAUUUUGGAGCUCGGGGUUAUGGUUUGUUUUUGGACAACUUUUUGGGGGGAAUAGCCUUUGUCGCAAUCUGUCCCACCGGUGUAUUCUGUACAGUAAUGCGGUUCGAUCAUUUAUUUAAUGAAUCGAUGUUCUAGACAUCUUCCGGCGUAUGUUUUGCUGGAACUUGGCUGUGGCGUUGCGUUAAUGUGGGUGAACGAAUCCAUGAUCUUAAAUAUCAUUUCUAAGGUGCAGCAAAAGCAAAAAGCAGACGCAGAACCACUUCGGGGAUCAAGGAAUUAUUAAAAUGUCAACCAGAACGCCACUACCUACUGUCAAUGAGCGUGACACUGAAAAUCACACCUCGCACGCUGAUGGGCGCAAUGAGGUGACCACGCGACCCGGGCGCUCGGGCUCCCGCUGCCGGAACUCUAUCGCCUCGUGUGCCGACGAGCAGCCGCACGUUGGAAACUAUCGGCUGCUCAAGACCAUCGGCAAGGGAAACUUCGCCAAGGUCAAGCUGGCACGCCACAUCCUCACGGGCAGAGAGGUUGCCAUUAAAAUCAUUGACAAGACACAACUGAAUCCUACCAGUCUUCAAAAGUCAAUACAGGCUGGUUGCGUAUCGACUGGUGUUGGAGUGGACACUGAAGGGAGAGAGACUGGGACGAGGGAACAGAAGAGACUUGCCUUCAUGUGUUGUUUGUGCCAUUCGCCACAAAAAUCCCUUACCGCCUGGAGUCUAUAUGGGAUUCAAAGAGGCAAAGGAUGUAAUGGGCCUAUUGUAAUUACUCUGAUGAUUCGGCUUCACAGACCGACCUUGUCAAACCAAUUUGUCAAAUUACUCUAAUAAUUGCUGUUUAAACCAGUACAACCUAUUUUGUUAAUGUUGCCAAAUCACUGUAAUAUAUGCCAUUUGAAACGGUACCAUAUUUUUUGUAACUAUCUACUAUAAAUGAUCCAUUACAGUUUGCCACAUGAGAUAGUGUUGUGUAUGAAAUAUAGCGAUCAGAUAAAUGUUUCAGUAACAUAUGAAUACUAAAGGUAAAUUGGUAAAAGCCAACAACAUUCUAGACUAUGUAAUGACAUGAUUAAUGAACCGGCAAAGACAAUUCUAAAAAUGUUUACAACACAAUACUGAUAGUAUAGACAAGGCAUUCGCACAAUGGAUUUUGUCAAAAUAAAAAAUGCUACAGGUUGAUAAUGACCA